AACGAACGCUGGCGGCAGGCUUAACACACGCAAGUCGAGCGCCCCGCAAGGGGAGCGGCAGACGGGUGAGUAACGCGUGGGAAUCUACCCAUCCCUACGGAAUAGCUCCGGGAAACUGGAAUUAAUACCGUAUACGCCCUACGGGGGAAAGAUUUAUCGGGGAUGGAUGAGCCCGCGUUGGAUUAGCUAGUUGGUGGGGUAAAGGCCAACCAAGGCGACAAUCCAUAGCUGGUCUGAGAGGAUGAUCAGCCACAUUGGGACUGGGACACUGCCUAAACUCCUACGGGAGGCAGCAGUGGGGAAUAUUGGACAAUGGGGGCAAUCCUGAUCCAGCCAUGCCGCGUGAGUGAUGAAGGCCUUAGGGUUGUAAAGCUCUUUCACCGGAGAAGAUAAUGACGGUAUCCGGAGAAGAAGCCCCGGCUAACUUCGUGCCAGCAGCCGCCGUAA
rnacentral:rRNA from 1 species